rnacentral:rRNA from 1 species
AGUGGCGGACGGGUGGGUAACGCGUGGGUAACCUGCCUCGAUACAGGGGGAUAACAGUUAGAAAUGACUGCUAAGACCGCAUAAUAUAGCGAAACCGCAUGAUUUUGCUAUCAAAUAUUUAUAGGUAUGAGAUGGGCCCGCGUCUGAUUAGCUAGUUGGUGGGGUAAAAGCCUACCAAGGCGACGAUCAGUAGCCGGCUUGAGAGAGUGACCGGCCACAUGGGACUGAGACACGGCCCAAACUCCUACGGGAGGCAGCAGUGGGGAAUAUUGGACAAUGGGGGAAACCCUGAUCCAGCCGACGCCGCGUGAGUGAAGAAGUAUUUCGGUAUGUAAAGCUCUAUCAGCAGGGAAGAUAAUGACAGUACCUGACUAAGAAGCCCCGGCUAACUACGUGCCAGCCGCCGC